UACGGAGGGUGCGAGCGUUGUCCGGAAUCACUGGGCGUAAAGGGCGCGUAGGCGGCCCGGUAAGUAGGGGGUGAAAUCCUGCGGCUCAACCGCAGAACCGCCUUCUAGACUGCCAGGCUCGAGCACAGUAGAGGCAGACGGAAUUCCCGGUGUAGCGGUGGAAUGCGUAGAGAUCGGGAAGAACACCGGUGGCGAAGGCGGUCUGCUGGGCUGUUGCUGACGCUGAGGCGCGACAGCGUGGGGGGCAAACAGGAUUAGAUACCCUGGUAGUCCACGCCGUAAACGAUGGGUACUAGGCGUCGGGGGGAGCGACCCUCCCGGUGCCGUCGCUAACGCACUAAGUACCCCGCCUGGGGAGUACGGCCGCAAGGCUGAA
rnacentral:rRNA from 1 species